GGGUAACCUGCCCUAUGCUGGGGAAUAACCUCGGGAAACUGAGAAUAAUGCCCCAUAGUCCACCAUGCCUGGAACGGUUGGUGGAUGAAAGCUCCGGCGGCAUAGGAUGGGCCUGCGGCGUAUCAGGUCGUAGGGGGUGUAACGUACCCUCUAGCCAUCGACGCGUACGGGUGUUGGGAGACAUAGCCCGGAGAUGGAUUCUGAGACACGAAUCCAGACCCUACGGGGUGCAGCAGGCGCGAAAACUUGGCAAUGCGAGAAAUCGUGACCAGGGAACUCCAAGUGGCUGGGGUAAGACCCAGUCUUUUCUUGACUCUUCAAAGGUCUUGGAAUAAGGGGUGGGUAAGGACGGUGCCAGCCGCCGCGGUAAUACCGGCGCCUCAAGUGGUAGUCGAUUUUAUUGGGCCUAAAACGUCCGUCGCCUGUUUGGUACAUUCGUGGGUAAAUCAACCAGCUCAACUGGUUGAAUUCUGCGAGCACGGCCAGACUUGGGACCGGGAGAGGUGUGGGGUACGCUCAGGGUAGGGGUAAAAUCCUGUCAUCCUGAGCGGACCACCUGUUGCGAAGGCUCCACACUAGAACGGAUCCGACGGUCAGGGACGAAGCCUAGGGGCACGAACCGGAUUAGAUACCCGGGUAGUCCUAGGUGUAAACGCUGUGGACUUGGUGUUGGGAAGGUUCCGAGCCUUCUCAGUGCC
rnacentral:rRNA from 1 species